rnacentral:tRNA from 1 species
GGCCCGUUGGAGAAGAGGCUUAACUCAUAUGCCUUUCACGCAUACAUUCAUGGGUUCGAAUCCCGUACGGGUCACCA